rnacentral:ncRNA from 2 species
CGCUCAUCCAGAGGGGCAGAGGGAAACGGCCCGUUGAAGCCCCGGCAACCCUCCAGUCGGUUCUCGUCGAUCUCUACGAUCCAAGACACGAGGCCACCGGCUAGGGAAGGUGCCAAAUCCGUCUCAUGGCGACGUUCGCCGUGAGGAAGAUGAGGA